rnacentral:rRNA from 1 species
CAGCCGCCGCGGGAAUACGAAGGGGGCUAGCGUUGCUCGGAAUUACUGGGCGUAAAGGGCGCGUAGGCGGACAGUUCAGUCGGGGGUGAAAGCCCGGGGCUCAACCUCGGAAUUGCCUUCGAUACUGGCUGUCUUGAGUAUGAGAGAGGUGUGUGGAACUCCGAGUGUAGAGGUGAAAUUCGUAGAUAUUCGGAAGAACACCAGUGGCGAAGGCGACACACUGGCUCAUUACUGACGCUGAGGCGCGAAAGCGUGGGGAGCAAACAGGAUUAGAUACCCGUGUAGUCCCUGUCUCUUAUAC